rnacentral:rRNA from 1 species
UACAGAGGUCCCGAGCGUUGUUCGGAUUCACUGGGCGUAAAGGGGUGCGUAGGUGGCUGGGAAAGUUUGAUGUGAAAGCUCAGGGCUUAACCCUGAAAUGGCAUUGAAUACUACUUAGCUUGAGGUUUGGAGGGGGGACUGGAAUUCUUGGUGUAGCAGUGAAAUGCGUAGAUAUCAAGAGGAACACCAGUGGCGAAGGCGAGUCCCUGGACAACACCUGACACUGAGGCACGAAAGCUAGGGGAGCAAACAGG